UGUAUAAUGGGUCAGCGACUUAUAUUCUGUAGCAAGGUUAACCGAAUAGGGGAGCCGAAGGGAAACCGAGUCUUAACUGGGCGUUAAGUUGCAGGGUAUAGACCCGAAACCCGGUGAUCUAGCCAUGGGCAGGUUGAAGGUUGGGUAACACUAACUGGAGGACCGAACCGACUAAUGUUGAAAAAUUAGCGGAUGACUUGUGGCUGGGGGUGAAAGGCCAAUCAAACCGGGAGAUAGCUGGUUCUCCCCGAAAGCUAUUUAGGUAGCGCCUCGUGAACUCAUCUCCGGGGGUAGAGCACUGUUUCGGCAAGGGGGUCAUCCCGACUUACCAACCCGAUGCAAACUGCGAAUACCGGAGAAUGUUAUCACGGGAGACACACGGCGGGUGCUAACGUCCGUCGUGAAGAGGGAAACAACCCAGACCGCCAGCUAAGGUCCCAAAGUCAUGGUUAAGUGGGAAACGAUGUGGGAAGGCCCAGACAGCCAGGAUGUUGGCUUAGAAGCAGCCAUCAUUUAAAGAAAGCGUAAUAGCUCACUGGUCGAGUCGGCCUGCGCGGAAGAUGUAACGGGGCUAAACCAUGCACCGAAGCUGCGGCAGCGACGCUUAUGCGUUGUUGGGUAGGGGAGCGUUCUGUAAGCCUGUGAAGGUGUACUGUGAGGUAUGCUGGAGGUAUCAGAAGUGCGAAUGCUGACAUAAGUAACGAUAAAGCGGGUGAAAAGCCCGCUCGCCGGAAGACCAAGGGUUCCUGUCCAACGUUAAUCGGGGCAGGGUGAGUCGACCCCUAAGGCGAGGCCGAAAGGCGUAGUCGAUGGGAAACAGGUUAAUAUUCCUGUACUUGGUGUUACUGCGAAGGGGGGACGGAGAAGGCUAUGUUGGCCGGGCGACGGUUGUCCCGGUUUAAGCGUGUAGGCUGGUUUUCCAGGCAAAUCCGGAAAAUCAAGGCUGAGGCGUGAU
rnacentral:rRNA from 1 species